ACGUAGGUGGCAAGCGUUGUCCGGAAUUAUUGGGCGUAAAGCGCGCGCAGGCGGUCCUUUAAGUCUGAUGUGAAAUCCUCCGGCUCAACCGGAGAAUUGCCUCGGAUACUGAAUGUCUCGAGGGUGAUAGGGGUAUGCGGAACUAUCGGUGGAGCGAUGAAAUGCGUUGAUAUCGAUAGGAACUCCGGUGGCGAAGGCGGCAUACUGGAUCACUUCUGACGCUGAGGCGCGAAAGCCAGGGGAGCAAACGGGA
rnacentral:rRNA from 1 species